rnacentral:rRNA from 1 species
UACAGAGGGUGCAAGCGUUGUUCGGAAUUAUUGGGCGUAAAGGGCGCGUAGGCGGUGCGGUAAGUCACCUGUGAAACCUCUGGGCUUAACUCAGAGCCUGCAGGCGAAACUGCCGUGCUUGAGUGUGGGAGAGGUGCGUGGAAUUCCCGGUGUAGCGGUGAAAUGCGUAGAUAUCAGGAGGAACACCUGUGGUGUAGACAGCUUUCUGGACCAUUGCUGACGCUGAGACACGAAAGCGUGGGUAGCAAACAGG